rnacentral:rRNA from 1 species
CCUACGGGAGGCUGCAGUGAGGAAUAUUGGUCAAUGGACGAGAGUCUGAACCAGCCAAGUAGCGUGAAGGAUGACUGCCCUAUGGGUUGUAAACUUCUUUUAUAUGGGAAUAAAAUGUUCCACGUGUGGGAUUUUGUAUGUACCAUAUGAAUAAGGAUCGGCUAACUCCGUGCCAGCAGCCGCGGUAAUACGGAGGAUCCGAGCGUUAUCCGGAUUUAUUGGGGUUAAAGGGGGCGUAGGUGGAUUGUUAAGUCAGUUGUGAAAGUUUGCGGCUCAACCGUAAAAUUGCAGUUGAAACUGGAAGUCUUGAGUACAGUAGAGGUGGGCGGAAUUCGUGGUGUAGCGGUGAAAUGCUUAGAGAUCACGAAGAACUCCGAUUGCGAAGGCAGCUCACUGGACUGCAACUGACACUGAGGCUCGAAAGUGUGGGUAUCAAACAGGAUUAGAGACCCCUGUAGUC